AGCAGCCGUGGUAAUUCCAGCUCCAAUAGCGUAUAUUAAAGUUGUUGCAGUUAAAAAGCUCGUAGUUGAAUUUCGGGGUUAGUAGGUUGGUCAUGCCUCCGGUAUGUACUGGUCUCACUGAUUCCUCCUUCCUGAUGAGCCGUAAUGCCAUUAAUUUGGUGUUGCGGGGAAUCUGGACUGUUACUUUGAAAAAAUUAGAGUAUUUAAAGCAGGCUCACGCUUGAAUACAUUAGCAUGGAAUAAUGAAAUAGGACGUUUGAUUCUAUUUUGUUGGUUUCUAGGAUCGACGUAAUGAUUAAUAGGGAUAGUUGGGGGCAUUAGUAUUCAAUUGUCAGAGGUGAAAUUCUUGGAUUUAUUGAAGACUAACUACUGCGAAAGCAUUUGCCAAGGAUGUUUUCAUUAAUCAAGAACGAAAGUUAGGGGAUCGAAGACGAUCAGAUACCGUCGUAGUCUUAACCAUAAACUAUGCCGACUAGGGAUCGGAUGAUGUAAUUUUUAAUGACUCAUUCGGCGUCCG
rnacentral:rRNA from 1 species